rnacentral:rRNA from 1 species
UCGGUCUCUGAGUAGAGCGGCGCACGGGUGAGUAACGCGUGGAUGAUCUACCCUUGAGUUCGGGAUAACGGUGCGAAAGCGCCGCUAAUACCGUAUAACAAUCCAUUUCAUCGUGGGUUCAAAGCAGGCCUCUUCAUGAAAGCUUGCGCUUGGGGAUGAGUCCGCGUCCCAUUAGCUUGUUGGCGGGGUAACGGCCCACCAAGGCAACGAUGGGUAGCUGGUCUGAGAGGAUGAUCAGCCACACUGGAACUGAAACACGGUCCAGACUCCUACGGGAGGCAGCAGUGGGGAAUAUUGCGCAAUGGGGGAAACCCUGACGCAGCGACGUCGUGUGAGGGAAGAAGGCCUUCGGGUCGUAAACCUCUGUCAGAAGGGAAGAACCGCCAGGAGUCGAAUAGGCUCUUGGUCUGACGGUACCUUCAGAGGAAGCGCCGGCUAACUCCGUGCCAGCAGCCGCGGUAAUACGGAGGGCGCAAGCGUUAAUCGGAAUCACUGGGCGUAAAGCGUGCGUAGGCUGCUUGAUAAG